AUCUUGGAAGUGAUGUCCGUCCCACCCUGACAGUGCUGCCCCCCUCCAGUGAGGAGCUGCUGCAGGGGAAGGCCACGCUCAUGUGCCUGGCCAACAAGGGCUUCCCGUCAGACUGGAGUCUGGCCUGGAAGGUGGACGGCAGCAGCAGCAGCAGCAGCAGCUGGGAGGAGAGCAGGAGCCCUGGGGUGCUGCAGAAGGAUGGCCACUACAGCUGGAGCAGCACCCUGAGGCUCCCUGCAGACCAGUGGAGGAAGGUGGGCUCUGUGACCUGUGAGGUCACCCAGGGCUCCCAGACUCCAGUCUCAGAGACACUGAGGAGGGACCAGUGUUCCCAGUCCUGACCUGACUCACUGGGACUCUGCUACUGGUUUCACUCUGAUAAUGCUCUCAGUCUGCACUCUCUCUCUCUUAGACUUAAAAGAUUUAAAUAGUGAUAUUUUCUUGCUCAUAAUGACGCC